rnacentral:tRNA from 1 species
CUCGUAGCUCAGUUGGUUAGAGCACCACCUUGACAUGGUGGGGGUCGUUGGUUCGAAUCCAAUCGAGCCUACCA